rnacentral:tRNA from 18 species
GCGACCGUGGUGGAACGGUAGACACGCUACCUUGAGGUGGUAGUGCCUUACGGGUGUGGGAGUUCAAAUCUCCCCGGUCGCACCA